GGGGCGGGUUGGGGUUGGGGUCGGGCCGGGAAGGCGGGGGGGGGAGUGGAUAGACAAGACACCCCUCAGCACCCCCCGGGGGAGGGGGGAUGCAGUGGGGGCUGAAGUCGCCCCUCACCCUCCCCGUGCCCUUUCUUCCCCCCUGGAGGGCUGGGGCGGGGGGGAUGAAGGAUGAAGCCGGGGAGGUUUAUCCAUGGGCUCUGCCCGCCCCCCCCUCAUCGUACCCGGGUGACCUUUCAAAUCAAAGCCCGGCUCGUACCUACCAAGGUGCACUGGGCAGCAAGGGCUGGGGGGGUGAUGGGGAGGGGGGGUGAUGCACCCGGGCUCUCCCCCUCCCUCUGCCUUUCCCCCUCCCUCCCUCCCUCCUCCCUCCUCCCUCCCUCGCUGCUCCCUCCCUCUCUCUCUCUCUCUCUGCUGCAUUUUGCAUGAGCUAUCUAGGUCAUUAGCAUUUUAGCGUAUGCAAGACUUGACAAAGCUGAUGAGAAGCCAGAUGGGCCCCUCUCCUCUUUUUUUUGCACCACUUGGGAUCUGAGCGAAAGGAUUGACUGCAGCAGGCGAACGGGGGAAGGUUUAUUGCGCUCCUCCAGACCCCCCCGUUUAUAGCAGCGCGGCGGGGCUCGGGGCAGGCGGCAGAGAGCGGGCAGCGGCGGGCAGAGACGGAGGGCAGCUCCGCGCACGGACCCUCACCUACGGAAUGGUGCCCUUGGGAACACUGACAGCGGCUCGGGGUCCCUGGGACGCCUCUUUGCUCCCCCCCGCGGGGUGCUGCAGGUAUUUCGGGACAGCCCUCCCUGGGCUCUCCUCCCGCCGGGUGCGGAUGCCGCAAGGAGCCCGUCGGGUCGUGCCGUGCCGUGCCAAUAAAGCUCUUUCCUCGCGGG